rnacentral:rRNA from 1 species
UGAUGCUUGCAUCCGCUGACGACCGGCGCACGGGUGCGUAACGCGUAUACAAUCUGCCUUGUACUGAGGGAUAGCCUUUGGAAACGAAGAUUAAUACCUCAUGGUAUAUAUAAAUGGCAUCAUUUAUAUAUUAAAGGUUACGGUACAAGAUGAGUAUGCGUCCUAUUAGCUAGAUGGUGUGGUAACGGCACACCAUGGCAACGAUAGGUAGGGGCCCUGAGAGGGGGAUCCCCCACACUGGUACUGAGACACGGACCAGACUCCUACGGGAGGCAGCAGUGAGGAGUAUUGGGCAAUGGAGGCAACUCUGACCCAGCCAUGCCGCGUGCAGGAAGACUGCCCUAUGGGUUGUAAACUGCUUUUAUACAGGAAGAAACACUCCCACGUGUGGGGGCUUGACGGUACUGUAAGAAUAAGGAUCGGCUAACUCCGUGCCAGCAGCCGCGGUAAUACGGAGGAUCCAAGCGUUAUCCGGAAUCAUUGGGUUUAAAGGGUCCGUAGGUGGAUUAAUAAGUCAGAGGUGAAAUCCUGCAGCUCAACUGUAGAACUGCCUUUGAUACUGUUAAUCUUGAGUCAUUAUGAAGUGGUUAGAAUGUGUAGUGUAGCGGUGAAAUGCAUAGAUAUUACACAGAAUACCGAUUGCGAAGGCAGAUCACUAAUAAUGUACUGACACUGAGGGACGAAAGCGUGGGGAGCGAACAGGACUAGAUACCCUGGUAGUCCACGCCGUAAACGAUGGUCACUAGCUGUUCGGACUUCGGUCUGAGUGGCUAAGCGAAAGUGAUAAGUGACCCACCUGGGGAGUACGUUCGCAAGAAUGAAACUCAAAGGAAUUGACGGGGGCCCGCACAAGCGGUGGAGCAUGUGGUUUAAUUCGAUGAUACGCGAGGAACCUUACCAGGGCUUAAAUGUAAGUUGCAUUAGCUAGAGAUAGCUAUUUCUUCGGACUACUUACAAGUGCUGCAUGGUUGUCGUCAGCUCGUGCCGUGAGGUGUCAGUUAAGUCCUAUACGAGCGCA